AUGAUGGCGUCGAUUGCCAUGGACAUAGCCGACGAAUUCCAACUGCUGCUACGACAAGCACAAGCAGUACAAGAAAUUAUAUUCCUGGCCGAAGUAGAAGACCUGCUGCGACAACUACAACAAGAAGAUGACUUUCUACCUGACCCCGAUGCCAUGUUUCGCGAGCUUGUCCGCCUCGGCCAUAUUACCGAGGCCAACACGGACAACAUCACCCCACACGCCAGCGUCGCGGGUGCACUGGCCACGGCGGUGGCCGAAGCACUCAAGACGGUGGACGCGCCAUCCGAUGGGCGCGACUGCCCGAUCUGCAUAGAGGACGACGACUCGGCGGCGUGGAAGGAGACGCCGUGUGAGCACCGGUUCCACGGGCGGUGCCUCGAGAGGUGGCUGCAGGCCAAGGGGAGCUGCCCCAUGUGCCGGCGCCAGCUGGUGACCAUGCCCUCCGCCGCCGCCCCUAGUACCGCUGUAUUCUCAGAUUUAGAGCUGGAUGCCAUGAUGGACCUCAUGUACGCCAUCGGCGGCAACCAGAACCCGAUCAUCUUCAGCCAGGGGAACCGGCUCAUCACGCGCGAUGACAACAACGCCAAGGCGGUGACUGAGCGGGAGGACGAACCCUACAGCGAGUACAAGGACUGGGUGUGUUUGACUUCAUCCCUGCCAAGGAACUCGCAGGGGGACGUGAUGAUGAAUGGGGCCUGCUUCAACGGACCUGGCGGCCAGAACGAGCGCAGCGCCGCCGACGACUUGUUCUACCGAGUGCUGCAAUCACUAGAAGCCCGAGACCUUGUACUCGAGGGCCAAGCACAAGAUAUCGCCCAAGAAUACGCCGACGUGCUGUUUCACGAGCUUACUGGCGUCGAUUUUAAUUCCGAUUUGGUCAUGGCGGACACAGACGUUGACCCUGAUGCUCCAGAGGACCCGGCGUUGGGCGAGGCGGUGGCCGAGGCGCUGAAGACGGUGGAGGCGGCGUCCGACGGGCAGGGCUGCCCGAUCUGCAUGGAGGACGACGACGAUGACGACGCAGCGAGGGGCGCCUGGAAGGAGACGCCGUGCGGGCACCGGUUCCAUGGGCGUUUAGCUUCACCAACCUCCCUCGAUCUCUCUCGCGCGCAAUUGCGACCUAGCUUGAUGGCGUCGGAUGCCAUGGACAUGGCCGAAGACCUGCCACAAGAAGGAGACGCUCUCGUGGACGUCUACGUGGAUGGCCAGCUUUUCCGCCCAAGUACUCUCGCGUUGCUAGCGCUACUUGGCGCCGCGGUGAACGCUGCCGACAUCACCCGAGACGUCGCCGUCGCGGAUGCUCCAAACGACUUGGACCCGGCUGUGGUAGCAGCGGUGGCCGAGGCGCUGAAGACAGUGGACGCGCCGCUAUCUGACGAAGGCCUCAACUGUCCGAUCUGCUUGGAGAACGACGACACGUCAUCGUGGAAGGAGACUCCGUGCGGACAUCGGUUCCAUGGACGAUGCGUGGAGAAGUGGCUGCAGGCCAAGGGUAGCUGCCCCAUGUGUCGGUGCCAGGUGGUGGCGAUGCCUACCGCCGCCGCCACGGAUGCUCCAUACCGACACUUCGUUAUCCUUCAGGAAUAUGGCCAGGAUGGUACGAACUUCGUUGUCAUGGACAUUGAUGAUGACGACGACGAUGAUCAUGAUGAUGAUGAUGAGAUGACGUAGAAGAAGAAUAUGAUGAUGAUGAAAUGGAAGACGAAGGCUGAAUAUCACGGCCCCAACUUUGGAAGAUCCCUGCUGACAUGGAUUUGGGAUGCGCUUUUGUCCACCGUGUAA
rnacentral:rRNA from 1 species